rnacentral:rRNA from 1 species
CCGAAUUGCUUGACGAUCAUAGAGCGUUGGAACCACCUGAUCCCUNCCCGAACUCAGAAGUGAAACGACGCAUCGCCA